GGUUGUCCGAAGGGAUAGUGAGACCCAUUUUUAGAUGAGUAAGUCAUUUGCUUGUUUUCUUUGGUGUGUGCAGUGUUUGUGAUUUUAGGAAGUGAAGACGUCCGAGGUUAUAAGGAAAUUGCAUCCACCACAGCAAUCUCACAUGGGACUAGAACAGCUUACAAGAUACUGUCACAGCUUUUAACGAUGGUCACCCGGUAUCCUCCAAGGCCAAGAGACGAUUGUUACCAAAAGAAACUUAUUGUAAGAAUUUGUCGUCUUGGAGGAAUAUGAAAUGCCUAGAAUUUGAGGAUUCAUUUGAAAUGGCGUAGUCUCCUAUUGGGAGAAUCUUCAAGACUGCAGAGGUAACUCGAUGAAAUCAGAAGUUCACAGAAGAAAUCUAAGAAAACAUUUGAAAAAAAAGAUUCCCCUGGAGGAAAGUGUAGGUUUCAUUUUUGAGUACUAGUUUAUUUUGGUUGCAGUGUUUUAUUGUAGGUCUCAAACGUAAAUUACGGUUAGGAGGACAUGAUUUCAAGCAUAGAAAAGGCAUGUAAUUGUUUAAGCAUCUUUAUAC